ACUUUUAAAGGGUAAGAGUCAUCCAUUGGUCUUGGGAACCAAAAAUUUUGGUGCAAUUCCAAGUAAAAGUA
rnacentral:tRNA from 1 species